AUCGCUACUCGGCCUUAUGGUUAAGAUCAAAGUAGAAUCUGUUAUUAUCAGCUAAACAUCAGGUAGAUCCUCCAACGGAGGGCAACAAAUGUUAAACUGAUUCUUAGAAACAGAGUGUUUUAUGGUCCAGUACCGUAGUACCGCCGGGAAUCCGGCCCAAACAGCU